AAAUGCUUGAGCAGAUGAUCAUAGCAAUGACCUAUGUUCUCCUGACCCUCUUCUAUGCUGAACUUACUGAAUCCUCCUCAAGCUGCUAUCAUGAGAAAGCCAAAAUAAAAAGAGUGGAUGAAAAUGCAACAGCAUUUGUGUCCUGUCCAGCACUUGCAGAGCAUGAAAAACCAUCUAUCACUCUAUACAAGGGAGAUACAAAGCUGCACUCAACAAUCCUGAGUGAUGUGGACAGUAAUCAAUCAUGGCAGCGGUUUCAGGUGCACAUACAAAACUCCUCAGUCUCGUAUAAGAUUUUAAGAACUGAAGCCAGUGACACAGGACUCUACAACUGCAUAAUCGCCUCACAAAUCUGGACAGAGGUUUCCCUGACUAUAUUACUAAUUAAAGACGCUCUGCUGCCCAAAGAAUCAACUGUCACUUGUCCCACUGAUCACACACUGCCACUUACUGUUGGCUGUGUGGUCAUCGUUGUAUAUAGUCUGUUCAUCACUGUCUUUGGCCGUUACCUCAAAUAUAAACUCAAGAACACAGAGCCAGCUGAGAAUCCCUACAUAAACACAAGACCAAGAGGAUUCAGACGACGCUGAAGACAAAUAUCAGCAGCGUAGCAAUAUGUCAGUCUUCCACUGGCUGUUACAUUUGUACCUCCUAUCAGCUGAGCAGUACUGCCCAGAGAGUAUAUUAAAC
rnacentral:lncRNA from 1 species